rnacentral:rRNA from 1 species
GGUAAGUACUGCCACUGCACUCUGGGAUAAGCUUGGGAAACUGGGUCUAAUACUGGAUAUGACCUUUCUCCUUAUGGGGUUUGGUGGAAAGUUUUUCGGUGUAGGAUGAGCCCGCGGCCUAUCAGCUUGUUGGUGGGGUGAUGGCCUACCAAGGCGACGACGGGUAGCCGGCCUGAGAGGGUGAUCGGCCACAUUGGGACUGAGAUACGGCCCAG